rnacentral:rRNA from 1 species
AUUGAACGCUGGCGGCAGGCCUAACACAUGCAAGUCGAGCGGAAACGAUCCUAGCUUGCUAGGAGGCGUCGAGCGGCGGACGGGUGAGUAACGCGUGAGAAUCUACCCAUGAGUGGGGGACAACCCGGGGAAACUCGGGCUAAUACCGCAUACGUCCUACGGGGUAAAGCAGGGGGCCUUCGGGCCUUGCGCUGAUGGAUGAGCUCGCGUCGGAUUAGCUUGUUGGUGAGGUAAAGGCUCACCAAGGCAACGAUCCGUAGCUGGUCUGAGAGGAUGAUCAGCCACACCGGGACGUGAGACACGGCCCGGACUCCUACGGGAGGCAGCAGUGGGGAAUCUUGGACAAUGGGGGCAACCCUGAUCCAGCCAUGCCGCGUGUGUGAAGAAGGCCUUCGGGUUGUAAAGCACUUUCAGCAGGGAGGAAGGCUUACCCCUAAUACGGGUGAGUACUUGACGUUACCUGCAGAAGAAGCACCGCUAAUUU